rnacentral:tRNA from 1 species
GGCGACGUAGCUCAGUUGGUUAGAGCGAUGGAAUCAUAAUCCACAGGUCCGGGGUUCGAGUCCCUGCGUCGCUA